rnacentral:lncRNA from 1 species
UUAGGUUGUGUAUCCUACCUGUAUGAUGUCGCUUGGGAUCACCACCUUAAUUUUGACUUAUAUGAUCAACGUGUGUUUCUAUGAUAUCACACCAGACUAAUAUGAUUGACAUGUGUUUCUUCGGGAUCACUAGACUAAUAUGACUAAAGGUAUCUUUUAAUGGAAAGUUAACAAUUUCACAUAGUGGGAUUAUAGUUGGUCUCUUAAUGAGUAUACUUUUUAUACUCACCAUUUUUCUAUGUUUAACGCUUUUUAGGCAAAGGUAAAGAGAAGAGCAAAUUGGCAAGUGACAAGAAGAAGAUCCCGUGAUCGACCAUGUGGAAACUAUUUGGUUUGUGCUUCUAUUAUUGAUUUUAGAAAAUUAAGAUAAUUAGAUUAUUAACUGUCAUGUAAAAGUUGGAUCAUCUCUGUUAAAAAAAUUCAUGGGAUGUAAAAUGAUAUGAAAGAGGAUGAAAACGAGGAAUGACAUUCCAUAACCCACAC